rnacentral:ncRNA from 1 species
CGCUGGGGGAGCUAAAAGCUGAGACCGCAGAAUACUGUGGACCCCUUGAACCUGUUCAGUUAAUACUGGCGUAGGGAAUGCGG